rnacentral:lncRNA from 1 species
CCAAGAAUACUUGUAUAAACCAGCCUCCUCUUUACCAAGAUCCAGAAGCCUCUUCAGAGAAAGGUCCUGUAACAGGUAAAUGAGACAUGAAGUUGGGGUGAACAGAACCAAACAAUUCAAUUGUUUCAUCAAUUUAUGAACAAAAAUCAAAUUAUGUUUGAAGGAAGGAACUAAGAGUACAUUGUGAAGAGUAAGAGAAGAAGUC